UUUUUUUUCAAAACACUGGACUUUCUUCGCUUAACAAUACUCGUUGGUUUUUUCUAAUUCCAAGUUAAUCGAUUAUCAUCUAUUCUCAGCUCAAUAUGAAUUCUGAUGAAAAUCAGUUGAAUGAGGAUUUGCAAGAGGUGAAUAAUGUUUCACCUGAAAAUAAUUUGUCUGAAGAUCUAAUAAGUAAUCACUCAUAUGAAUAUGAUGAUGAUCAAUCGGAUGAGGAUUUUUAUGAGGAUCUAGAUCAGUUAGCUGAGGAUAUUCAUCAGUAUCCGAGGAAUAUGCAGCAGAAUGAUCAUCUAAAUAGGUUGAAUGAGGAUAUUCAUGAGUAUGAGAGGCAUCUGCAGCAGAAUGAUCAUCUAGAUCAUCAGUGGAAUGGAGUUUUUUAUGGGCAUAGGAGGAAUCUGCAGCAGAAUGAUCAUCAGUAGAAUGGGGUUUUUUAUGGGCAUACGAGGAAUCUGCGGCAGAAUGAUCAUCUAAAUCGGUUGAACGAGGAUAUUCAUGAGUACGAGAGGAAUCUGCAGCAGAAUGAUCAUCUAGAUCAUCAGUGGAAUGAGGUUUUUUAUGGGCAUAGGUGGAAUUUGCGGCAGAACGAUCAUCAGCGCAAUGGGGUUUUUUAUGGACAUAGGAGGAAUCUGCGGCGGAAUGAGCAUCUAAAUCGGUUGAAUGAGGAUAUUCAUGAGUAUGAGAGGAAUCUGCAGCAGAAUGAUCAUCUAGAUCAUCAAUGGAAUGAGGUUUUUUAUGGGCAUAGGAGGAAUGUGCAGCAGAAUGAUCAUCAGUGCAAUGGGGCUUUUUAUGGGCAUACGAGGAAUCUGCGGCAGAAUGAUCAUCAGGGCAAUGGGGUUUUUUAUGUACAUAGGAGAAAUCUGCGGCAGAAUGGUCAUCAGUGCAAUGAGUUUUUUUAUGGGCAUAAGAGGAAUCUGCAGCAGAAUGAUCAUCAGUGCAAUGGGAUUUUUUAUGGGCAUACGAGGAAUCUGCGGCAGAAUGAUCAUCAGUGCAAUGAGGUUUUUUAUGGGCAUAGGAGGAAUCUGCAGCAGAAUGAUCAUCAUUGCAAUUGGAUUUUUUAUGAGCAUACGAGGAAUUUGCGGCAGAAUGAUCAUCAGUGCAAUGUGGUUUUUAAUGGACUUAGGAGGAAUCUGCGGCAGAAUGCAAUUUUUGAGCAUUCUUACCGUUGUUUUUCGGUCUCAUCUCUCGAUAGGCCAAAAUUCUGGAAUGUGGUGAUAAAAGUAUGUGCACUAACAUCUUACUUGGUUACAUUUUAUUCUUUUGUAUCAAUCAUCAAUCAUUGUGAUAAUUUCAAUAGCUAAUGCAAAUUCUCUUUUCUUUCGGUUAUCAUGCCUGCUUCGGCUCUAGAAU